rnacentral:rRNA from 1 species
UGGGGAAUUUUUUGCAAUGGGCGCAAGCCUGACGGAGCAAGACCGCGUGAGGGAGGAAGGCCCUUGGGUUGUAAACCUCUUUUCUCAGGGAAGAAGAAAGUGACGGUACCUGAGGAAUCAGCCUCGGCUAACUCCGUGCUAGCAGCCGCGGUAAUACGGAGGAGGCAAGCGUUAUCCGGAAUUAUUGGGCGUAAAGCGUCCGCAGGUGGUUUAUCAAGUCAGCUGUUAAAGCGUGGGGCUUAACUCCAUAAGGGCAGUUGAAACUGAUAGGCUAGAGUGCGAUAGGGGCAAGGGGAAUUCCCAGUGUAGCGGUGAAAUGCGUAGAUAUUGGGAAGAACACCGGUGGCGAAAGCGCCUUGCUGGGUCUGCACUGACACUGAGGGACGAAAGCUAGGGGAGCGAAAGGGACUAGAUACCCCCGUAGUCC